rnacentral:rRNA from 1 species
UAUGAACGCUGGCGGCGUGCCUAAUACAUGCAAGUCGAGCGAACGGACGAGAAGCUUGCUUCUCUGAUGUUAGCGGCGGACGGGUGAGUAACACGUGGAUAACCUACCUAUAAGACUGGGAUAACUUCGGGAAACCGGAGCUAAUACCGGAUAAUAUUUUGAACCGCAUGGUUCAAAAGUGAAAGACGGUCUUGCUGUCACUUAUAGAUGGAUCCGCGCUGCAUUAGCUAGUUGGUAAGGUAACGGCUUACCAAGGCAACGAUGCAUAGCCGACCUGAGAGGGCGAUCGGCCACACUGGAACUGAGACACGGUCCAGACUCCUACGGGAGGCAGCAGUAGGGAAUCUUCCGCAAUGGGCGAAAGCCUGACGGAGCAACGCCGCGUGAGUGAUGAAGGUCUUCGGAUCGUAAAACUCUGUUAUUAGGGAAGAACAUAUGUGUAAGUAACUGUGCACAUCUUGACGGUACCUAAUCAGAAAGCCACGGCUAACUACGUG